rnacentral:rRNA from 1 species
UGGGGAAUCUUGGACAAUGGGGGCAACCCUGAUCCAGCCAUGCCGCGUGAGUGAUGAAGGCCUUAGGGUCGUAAAGCUCUUUCGCCUGUGAAGAUAAUGACGGUAGCAGGUAAAGAAACCCCGGCUAACUCCGUGCCAGCAGCCGCGGUAAUACGGAGGGGGUUAGCGUUGUUCGGAAUUACUGGGCGUAAAGCGCACGUAGGCGGACCAGAAAGUUGGGGGUGAAAUCCCGGGGGCUCAACCCCGGAACUGCCUCCAAAACUAUUGGUCUAGAGUUCGAGAGAGGUGAGUGGAAUUCCAAGUGUAGAGGUGAAAUUCGUAGAUAUUUGGAGGAACACCAGUGGCGAAGGCGGCUCACUGGCUCGAUACUGACGCUGAGGUGCGAAAAGUGUGGGGAGCAAAACAGGAUUAGAUACCCCUGGUAGUCCACACCGUAAAACGAUGAAUGCCAGUCGUCGGGUAGCAUGCUAUUCGGUGACACACCUAACGGAUUAAGCAUUCCGCCUGGGGAGUAC